rnacentral:telomerase_RNA from 1 species
UGUCGUUCAACAUGGACCGACCUCGCAUGAUCUAACCCUAACGAGCUGAAUAUUUCACCGACUUUUGGGUUACCCUCCAACAGUUUUGAAGCUUGUUUCUGUUGUAUGUUCCGAGGAACAAAAAACUUGCUGGUUGGUGUCAUGGACACACGACGAAAAGCAUCAAAAUGCCAAGUUUGUUUCUGCUUUCAGUCCAGAUAGUAUUACUGAACCUCGCCGUACUUUAUGUGCAUGCCGGUGCUCAGUUUUACAACAGCCAUUUUGACGUAGAGUAAAUUGA